rnacentral:tRNA from 1 species
UCCUUUGUGGCUCAGUUGGUAAAGAGUCUGCCUGCAGUACAGGAGACCCAGGUUCAAUCCCUGGGUGAGGAA